AACGAACGCUGGCGGCACGCUUAACACAUGCAAGUCGGACGGAGUAAUGGAGCUUGCUCUAUUACUUAGUGGCGGACGGGUGAGUAUAAUGUAGGAAUCUGCCCAUGGGUUAGGGAUAGCACCGGGAAACUGGUGGUAAUACCUGAUGAGCUAGGGAUAGGAAAGGAGAGAUUCGCCGAUGGAGGAGCCUGCAUCUGAUUAGAUAGUUGGCGGUGUAAUGGACCACCAAGUCGAUGAUCAGUAGCUGUUCUGAGAGGAAGAUCAGCCACAUUGGGACUGAGAUACGGCCCAAACUCCUACGGGAGGCAGCAGUGGGGGAUAUUGCACAAUGGAGGAAACUCUGAUGCAGCAACGCCGCGUGAGGGAAGAAGGUCUUCGGAUUGUAAACCUAAGUUGUCAGGACGAACAAAUGACGGUACCUGAAAAAGAAAAGACUCCGGCUAACUACGUG
rnacentral:rRNA from 1 species